AAAGCAGGUCUGCAAUUGCAGUACUUCAUUGCAGUGGAGUGCUGUCAUUAACCCUGCUGAGAGCAUCUUUCUGCUGCAGAGUCUGUCCUCCUGCUUGCCAUGUUGGUGAGGAGGAACGUCUGUUGCUGGAACAUUU